UACGAAGGGGGCUAGCGUUGUUCGGAAUCACUGGGCUUAAAGGGCGCGUAGGCGGACUGCCGCGUCCGGGGUGAAAUCCCACGGCUCAACCGUGGAACGGCCCCGGAUACGGGCGGUCUCGAGGGGGGUAGGGGCACCUGGAACUGUGGGUGGAGCGGUGAAAUGCGUUGAUAUCCACAGGAACUCCGGUGGCGAAGGCGAGGUGCUGGACCCCUCCUGACGCUGAGGCGCGAAAGCCAGGGGAGCGAACGGG
rnacentral:rRNA from 1 species